rnacentral:rRNA from 1 species
UACGGGGGGGCAAGCGUUGUUCGGAAUUACUGGGCGUAAAGAGCUCGUAGGUGGCCAACUAAGUCAGACGUGAAAUCCCUCAGCUUAACUGGGGAACUGCGUCUGAUACUGGAUGGCUUGAGAUUGGGAGAGGGAUGCGGAAUUCCAGGUGUAGCGGUGAAAUGCGUAGAUAUCUGGAGGAACACCGGUGGCGAAGGCGGCAUCCUGGACCAACACUGACACUGAGGAGCGAAAGCCAGGGGAGCAAACGGG